rnacentral:lncRNA from 1 species
UAGGCAAUGAAAAGAGCCUGGUAACAUACACCAAGCAAGCAGGAAGGAAUGCCAUGGUAAUUCUGAGGUGCUGAUGCUUUACAAUGCCUGAUCAAGACACAAAGGUGAAAAGCAUAGAGAAAAGCAACUGAUAAGAAGCAACAGGGGACCACCACCAGGGGACUAUCAGAUCUUAAAAGACUCCGGUGCCUGUUGAACGUCCAGUCAAGCAAACAGCACGGUAGUGUUUUCAAAGGAUGUGGUGUGCGAAUAUACACCACGGGUUUCCGCAAGGGUCCCAUUUCACUUCCUUGUGUGCACGCUCUCUGUUCAAUCCGGUGCCGUCCUUGCUUCCUCUAGCUGCUGCUCUCACCUGGGUAGGGCUGGGCCAAGACUUGGUCGGCAUCCAGCCUUUUUGGUUUCUUUGCUUGUCGU